GUCCCUUUUGUUAAUACUUAUACGCAAAUGUUGGCAACAAAGUAUCCAAAUAAAAGAAAUGAAUUGCCGCCGUACCGUACUGAGAGUAAAAACUUGCAAUGCUAUUUUUGACAUACCGGUAAUUAUUUUUCUAUAAAACUAAAAUAUUUUUGAUUAUCUACUUCAACCAGAUGCGAGGGUUUAUCUAAGAAACAGUUUUCUGAUCUGGGCGAUCUUCUUGAAGAUAUGGACUAUUAUUGUCAACACUGCUGCGGCCGGCCGUACCACUUUGGUAACUCCUUGUAUAGGCUAAUGGCAUCAGGUCAAGCUGGCUCGUUAAUGUCGAGUAUCCAGAUGGAAAAGAUCCUCUUGAGAAAUAACAAGAGCCUCUCGGAUGCAGGCAGUUCCCACCAUCCCAAUUCUUGCAAGACUGAUGAGGUUGCUCAGAGAAUACUGAUGAGAUUUGGUCCAACUUCUACAUCGAAGCCAGUUGCUGUGCGAGGAGUUGGAAACUGUCAAUGCGAUAUCGGUUGCUGUUAGUGGAAAUGAUUUAUUGGCACCAGAACUGAGAGUUAGAACAGCAAUCGAAAUGUUCGAACAACGCGACUAUUAUGAAAAGUCGAAAGCAAAUGUACGAUUGAAAUAUUUUUCUCCUGACUCUGGUGAUGCUUCAAGUCUAUGCUUACUGAGUGGGGCCUAUUCAUCUGCGUGGACAAUGCAUACUGCAGCAUCUGUUGUCGGAAGGACUUUUGAAUCCGUAUGUCCACAAAUUAAUGGUAUACAGGACAGAUGUUUCAGAGAACUCAAUCGGCAAUUCCAACCAAGAAAGUUGACACAUAAGAAACCAAUUUCAAUAAUGUGGACCGGCAAUCUGACCAAACGUGGUACGUGGAUCUCGAACCAUUUUGUGCCCCUCUUACAAGUCAAGGAGAUGGACGUUGUAUAUCAAGUCCUGACUAAUCGCCUGUUCGUGUCAUGUCUGACUGGCCAUCGUUAGAAGAGGCAUAUGGUACCAAAGUGACGUCGCCAGCAGAUGUGGAAGACUUGAUGUCACCAGCUAAAGAAGUAGUUGGAGUGAACCUGUUUAUGUUCAACACCAUCACCAUCGCAU